rnacentral:piRNA from 1 species
UGGAGACAUUGCUUCUCUUUGGGACCCCU